GAUGAACGCUGGCGGCGUGCUUAACACAUGCAAGUCGAACGAAGUGGCGAACGGGUGAGUCACGCGUAAUCAAUCUGCCCUUCAGAGGGGGACAACAGGUGGACAAUACUGCUAAUACCGCAUACUGCAGUGGGGGAGUGCGUCGGAUUAGCAAGUUGGAGGGGUAACGGCCCACCAAGGCGAUGAUCAGUAGCCGGUCUGAGAGGAUGACCGGCCACAUUGGGACUGAGACACGGCCCAGACUCCUACGGGAGGCAGCAGUGGGGAAUCUUCCGCAAUGGACGAAAGUCUGACGGAGCAACGCCGCGUGAGUGAUGACGGCCUUCGGGUUGUAAAGCUCUGUUAAUCGGGACGCGGUACCGGAAUAGAAAGCCACGGCUAACUACGUGCCAGCAGCCGCGGUAAUAC
rnacentral:rRNA from 1 species